CCUACGGGAGGCAGCAGUGAGGAAUAUUGGUCAAUGGACGAGAGCCUGAACCAGCCAAGUAGCGUGAAGGAUGACUGCCCUAUGGGUUUUAAACUUCUUUUAUAUGGGAAUAAAAUGUUCCACGUGUGGGAUUUUGUAUGUACCAUAUGAAUAAGGAUCGGCUAACUCCGUGCCAGCAGCCGCGGUAAUACGGAGGAUCCGAGCUUUAUCCGGAUUUAUUGGGUUUAAAGGGAGCGUAGGUGGUGUGUUAAGUCAGUUGUGAAAUCUUGCGGCUCAACCGUAAAAGUGCAGUGGAAACUGGGAGUCUUGAGUACAGUAGAGGUGGGUGGAAUUCGUGGUGUAGCGGUGAAAUGCUUAGAUAUCACGAAGAACUCCGAUUGCGAAGGCAGCUCACUGGACUGUAACUGACGCUGAGGCUCGAAAGUGUGGGUAUCAAACAGGAUUAGAUACCCGAGUAGUC
rnacentral:rRNA from 1 species